UAGGAUGAGUUGGCUUGGUUGUGUGUG
rnacentral:piRNA from 1 species